rnacentral:rRNA from 1 species
UACGUAGGGUCCGAGCGUUGUCCGGAAUUAUUGGGCGUAAAGAGCUCGUAGGCGGUUUGUCGCGUCUGCUGUGAAAUCUGGAGGCUCAACCUCCAGCCUGCAGUGGGGUACGGGCAGACUAGAGUGUGGUAGGGGAGACUGGAAUUCCUGGUGUAGCGGUGAAAUGCGCAGAUAUCAGGGAGGAACACCGAUGGCGAAAGCGGCUCUCUGGAACGGUACUGACGCUGAGACGCGAAAGCGUGGGGAGCGAACAGG